rnacentral:rRNA from 1 species
CCUACGGGAGGCAGCAGUGAGGAAUAUUGGUCAAUGGACGAGAGUCUGAACCAGCCAAGUAGCGUGAAGGAUGACUGCCCUAUGGGUUGUAAACUUCUUUUAUAUGGGAAUAAAACGUUCCACGUGUGGGAUUUUGUAUGUACCAUAUGAAUAAGGAUCGGCUAACUCCGUGCCAGCAGCCGCGGUAAUACGGAGGAUCCGAGCGUUAUCCGGAUUUAUUGGGUUUAAAGGGAGCGUAGGGGGAUUGUUAAGUCAGUUGUGAAAGUUUGCGGCUCAACCGUAAAAUUGCAGUUGAAACUGGCAGUCUUGAGUACAGUAGAGGUGGGCGGAAUUCGUGGUGGAGCGGUGAAAUGCUUAGAUAUCACGAAGAACUCCGAUUGCGAAGGCAGUUCACUGGACUGCAACUGACACUGAGGCUCGAAAGUGUGGGUAUCAAACAGGAGUAGAUACCCUUGUAGUC